UGAGACAGGUGCUGCUUGGCUGUCGUCAGCUCGUGUUGUGAAAUGUUGGGUUAAGUCCCGCAACGAGCGCAACCCUUAUCCUUUGUUGCCAGCGGUUAGGCCGGGAACUCAAAGGAGACUGCCAGUGAUAAACUGGAGGAAGGUGGGGAUGACGUCAAGUCAUCAUGGCCCUUACGAGUAGGGCUACACACGUGCUACAAUGGCGCAUACAAAGAGAAGCGACCUCGCGAGAGCAAGCGGACCUCAUAAAGUGCGUCGUAGUCCGGAUUGGAGUCUGCAACUCGACUCCAUGAAGUCGGAAUCGCUAGUAAUCGUAGAUCAGAAUGCUACGGUGAAUACGUUCCCGGGCCUUGUACACACCGCCCGUCACACCAUGGGAGUGGGUUGCAAAAGAAGUAGGUAGCUUAACCUUCGGGAGGGCGCUUACCACUUUGUGAUUCAUGACUGGGGUGAAGUCGUAACAGGGUAAC
rnacentral:rRNA from 1 species